UCAAGAUGAAGACUUUGGGGAACUUUUAAAAAGAACAAAAAUAUCACAGUGAUGAUAAAAAUUACAUUUAAAAAGAACUUAAAAUACUUCAGUUUUCAGUUUUUUUCUUAUUUUCUCUGUAUUUGAUACAACUUCUUGCCUGAAUAAUGAAAUAUGUACUCUUGAAACUCAUUCAAAGUAUACAUCAUAUCCCUAUUUUAAUUAUUUUCCUGAAUGUUUCUAGAAAAUUUAACACUGGUUGUUCACAAGUUUAUUAGUAAUUAAAGCAUGGAAAUGGUAUGUAGAUUGAUUGAGCCAUGGCUAAAGAUGAAGAAAAGGCCGGAUGGCGGGCGUGAAUAUAAGAAAUUGCCUAAAGAUAUGAAGAAGCUUGAUGGAUUAUACGUGACAUUUAUAGCUAGAGCUAGCAUCAACAUCGGAUGUUGGCUUAGAAAAUGUUGAUUGCACUGUUCUUCCCGACUCUGUAUCACCUGCCUCAGGAUCUCCUACUAUUGUAUAAAAUAAUGCCUACUUCCCGGGCUUCUCUUUGCACUAUGCGCGUGUACUUGAGGAUGUAUGCUCUUGAAUAAUUGGUGUUGACUGUUUGCUCUUCUGCUGACAUUAGAAUCAUCACACGGGUUGAAAGACUUUGCAAGAUCUUGGGGGUACUAAGAGUAUUACAACCAUCGCCCUAAUAUUAAGACAGUGAUCUACACAUAUGAAGUUGCAGUCAGAUAAGCACAAUAAUCACAAUGUUGAAUUUAAACUUUGACGACGAUGAAGAUGCCAACAUAGGAAAUAAAAUACAGAUUCCUAGGAUCGUGUGGUGCAACAAGUUUUUAUACAGUAAGGCAUGAGACAACAACUUCAAUCUGUAUACAAAUAGUUUAUUGUUCCUUGAAUCCAAUAACAUAAUGAAUUUUUUGAUGAAAUACAUGAUUACACAUUUACACUAUAA